UUCCUGAAAAUAUCUGCUUAGAGAAAAUGGACAGAAAUCAUUCAUUGUCGUCACAAGAAAAUGACAUUCUUGCUUUUAUUUGUAUCAUCAAUCGACCAAAAAACUCACAGCUGCCCUUUGAUGCUUGUCCAGCAGUGGAUAGAACAUGUCAAAGAUCGCACGCUUCUACGCAAAUUUUUGGCACUAUUUCUUUUAAUCACAAGCCUCCAUUUUGUACUUUUUGUCUUUAGCAUUAUUGGUUCUGAAUUUAUCACUUCUUGUGUCAAGUUUCUGAUGUGUAUUAUUAAUGUGAAAAUCAUCUGAAGCUUCAGCUCUUUUUAACAUGGCUACUAGUAGUAGUUCUUCAUUUGCAGCAGCUUCCAUGUCGCCUGGAAAUAGUUCUGGCCAUGAUCAGAAAGAUGAGCUUCUCUUUUCUGAUGACCCCAACUUUGCUCUACAUGCUUUAUAAUGGAGGUGAUCAUAGCACAGAGCAUUGCUCACUGGAGCAAGUGUUUCCGAGAAAUCUCCCAGUUGUCCAGUUUCAGGAUCAUCUUGAAACUGGUUCCAAGUUGCAGCAUCAAUCAGUGUGAGAUAUCAAAGUAAGUGAUUAUGCAGAUCGCUAAGAGAGAGAGUUUGAGGAAUAUUAUGCAUUGCUGUGAUGUUAAUUGUUGUGCCAUUUCUUCGUCUUGUUGAUUAAUAAUAAUUUACAGCUUAAUUA